rnacentral:rRNA from 2 species
GUUGAUUCUGCCAGUAGUCAUAUGCUUGUCUC